rnacentral:rRNA from 1 species
UACGUAGGCAGCAAGCGUUGUUCGGAGUUACUGGGCGUAAAGGGUGCGUAGGCGGCUUUUUAAGUCUGGUGUGAAAUCUCCCGCUCAACUGGGAGGGUGCGCCGGAUACUGAGGGGCUAGAGUGUGGGAGAGGAAAGUGGAAUUCCUGGUGUAGCGGUGAAAUGCGUAGAUAUCAGGAGGAACACCGGUGGUGUAAACGGCUUUCUGGACCAUAACUGACGCUGAGGCACGAAAGCGUGGGUAGCAAACAGG